rnacentral:rRNA from 1 species
UACGUAGGUGACAAGCGUUGUCCGGAUUUACUGGGCGUAAAGAGCGCGCAGGCGGUCGUUCAAGUCGAGUGUGAAAGCCCCCGGCUCAACUGGGGAGGGUCAUUCGAUACUGAUCGACUCGAAGGCAGGAGAGGGUAGUGGAAUUCCCGGUGUAGUGGUGAAAUGCGUAGAUGUCGAGAGGAACACCUGCGGCGAAGGCGGGUUGCUGGGCUGACACUGACGCUGAAGCGCGAAAGCUAGGGGAGCGAACGGG